rnacentral:tRNA from 1 species
CCCCCUGUGGCUCAGUUGGUAGAGCAUGGUGUUUGCAACGCCAGCAUGGUGUGUGCAACGCCAGGGUUGUGGGUUCGAUUCCCACAGGGGGC